AGGCCGGUAGCUCAAUUGGUAGAGCACCGGUCUCCAAAACCGGGGGUUGGGGGUUCGACUCCCUCCUGGCCUGCCA
rnacentral:tRNA from 1 species